rnacentral:misc_RNA from 1 species
AAACCUUAAUUCCAAACUAGUUGGCAUUAGCUAUAUGAAUUUUUAUCCUCCAUCCCAGUAAUUUAAGACUACAUCUUUAGAAAGAUCUAGAGUAGCCAAACCUGUUUUUACUACCCUCCCCCCACAUCAAUGUGAAUCACUUGUAUUUACUUUUGUGAAAAUAUUAAGCUUAACAUGUAAUUAUUGUUCUCCCUUCUUUUUGGCAUGUUUGAGUCCAACACCUACCUUCGAAAUCCAGUGCAUUUGACAUGAUGAAUGUUGGUUUUGGCUUCUGAAAUUUUGUGAUGUGGCUUGUGGGAUACUCAUCCUAUCUGUCACUGGAUGUGUCAACCCUAGAAAGAAGUUGAAUUUUGCAAAAUCUAUUGUCACUUAAGCAACAUUUUAAUUUUUGGAAGCAUUGUCUUCAUAAGGUAGGUAGUGCUAUUGCUUGAUUUCAAAACUCUUCCAUCAGGUCUCAACUCUCAAUUGGCCAUAAAAAAUGGUAUUGAACUUGCAGCUGUGCAUUCAGUAAAACAAAUGAGUGAACCACAUUCAAACUAGGAGCUUAG